rnacentral:rRNA from 1 species
UACAGAGGGGGCAAGCGUUAUUCGGAAUUAUUGGGCGUAAAGGGCGCGUAGGCGGCCUGGCAAGUGGAAGGUGAAAUCCCUCGGCUUAACCGAGGAACUGCCCUCCAAACUGCUUGGCUUGAGUCCGGGAGAGGUGAGUGGAAUUCCCAGUGUAGCGGUGAAAUGCGUAGAUAUUCGCAAGAACACCAGUGGCGAAGGCGGCUCACUGGCCCGAUACUGACGCUGAGGCACGAAAGCGUGGGGAGCAAACAGG